AGAAGCAGAAGAAGAGAAGAAAGAAGAAGCAGAAGAAAAAAAGGAAAAAACAGACGAGAAGAAGCAAAAGAAGAAGAAGAAGAAGAAGAAAGAGAAGUUGAGAAGAGAGAGAAAGGACCACAUACCUGCAAAGCCAUCGUGAGCCUCUCUCUUGAUUGGAGCCGACUCCCGCUGCUGAUUCCGUCUCUAAGAAGAGCCUUCGGUCGAUUGUUUCUCCUCGGCAAGGAUGGAUGUUGAUCGAUUGGUGUUGAUUCUCCCGUUCUAUUAAACUCGUGGACGUGUUUUUCUCAACAUCGGGGGAAUUGAUGUAGAUGCGCACCCAUGGAGCGAUCCAUACCCAUAUGGGUAUCCAACAAGAGAUUACCAGAUCCAUAUUGAGUCCUUAGUCAAGUAAGAUUUUAGUAGUUUAUUUUAUUUAUGAGACUAAUAUCUUUAGUUUAUUUUAUUUUGUUUAUUUUUGAGAAGUUGCAUGCAUGGGACAUAGUUAGAAUUGGUUUAGGAUUUCUUUUCAUUUUGAGUUAGUUUCCUUUUAGGAUUUUUUUCCAUGUUAGAGUUUUUCAAUUUCCUAUUUAUAUGCUUGUAAUCGAUUGAAAAAGACAGAUUGAAAAGAUGAAUUGAGUUUGAGUAUUUGUAGAGCCUGCGGGCAUGUGUGAGUGAUUCUCCUUUUUCCCCCCUUCUUAAUGUGAUUUCUCCCUCUCCCCUACAACUCUGAGACCUCUCUCAAGGAUUUCUUCCCUUUCCCUAUUGGCCCUCCAUCACAAUGUCUGGUGGGAUGAGCUGAGCCUUCAAGCAUUGACAUAGCUGUUUAGCUACAUGAAAUUUAGUUUGCUAGUGUUGGCUAGGCUCAUUAAAAUGUUGAAAUCCAAG